rnacentral:rRNA from 1 species
UACGGAGGGUGCAAGCGUUGCUCGGAAUUAUUGGGCGUAAAGGGUAGGUAGGUGGUCUCAUUUGUCUGGGGUGAAAGCCUUGAGCUUAACUCAAGAAGUGCCCCAGAAACGGUGAGACUAGAGUCCUGGAGAGGGUCGUGGAAUUCCCGGUGUAGCGGUGAAAUGCGUAGAUAUCGGAAGGAACAUCAGUGGCGAAAGCGACUUCCUGGACCAGUACCGACGUUCAGGCACGAAAGCGUGGGGAGCAAACAGG